rnacentral:rRNA from 1 species
AGAGUUUGAUCCUGGCUCAGGAUGAACGCUAGCUACAGGCUUAACACAUGCAAGUCGAGGGGCAGCACAAGGCAGCAAUGCUGAGGUGGCGACCGGCGCACGGGUGCGUAACGCGUAUCCAACCUUCCCGUUACUCUUGGAUAGCCUUCCGAAAGGGAGAUUAAUACAAGAUGGUGUUGAAAUUCCGCAUGUUAUUUCAACUAAAGAUUUAUCGGUAACGGAUGGGGAUGCGUGACAUUAGAUAGAUGGCGGGGUAACGGCCCACCAUGUCCACGAUGUCUAGGGGUUCUGAGAGGAAGGUCCCCCACACUGGAACUGAGACACGGUCCAGACUCCUACGGGAGGCAGCAGUGAGGAAUAUUGGUCAAUGGCCGGAAGGCUGAACCAGCCAAGUAGCGUGAAGGAUGAAGGUUCUAUGGAUUGUAAACUUCUUUUAUACGGGAAUAAAACCUCCCACGUGUGGGAGCUUGUAUGNNNCGUAUGAAUAAGCAUCGGCUAACUCCGUGCCAGCAGCCGCGGUAAGAUCUGCUGU